UAGUCCAUGCCGUCAACUAUGAGAGCUCAUCUUAGAAAAACUGAGAUUUAGUUAACACGUUAAGCUCUUCGCCAGGGAAGUACGAUUGCAAGGUUAAAACUCAAAGGGAUUGACGGGGGCCCGCACAAGCGGUGGAGUAUGUGGUUUAAUUCGAAGCAACGCGCAGAACCUUACCUACCCUUAACAUUUCACGCUCGCCUCAGAGAUGAGGUUUUCUCUUCGGAGACGUGAGGAUAGGUGCUGCAUGGCUGUCGUCAGCUCGUGUCGUAAGAUGUCUGGUUAAGUCUAAUAACGAGCGCAACCCUUAUCCUUAGUUACCAGCAUUGAGUUGGGGACUCUAGGGAGACUGCCGGUGUUAAACCGGAGGAAGGCGGGGAUGACGUCAAGUCCUCAUGGCCCUUACGGGUAGGGCUACACACGUACUACAAUGGCAGAAACAAACCGAAGCGAUAUUGCGAGAUGGAGCUAAACGGUAAAACACUGUCUCAGUCCGGAUUGAAGUCUGCAACUCGACUUCA
rnacentral:rRNA from 1 species